GUGCCAGCCGCCGCGGUAAUACCGGCAGCUCAAGUGAUGUCCCAUAUUAUUGGGCCUAAAGCGUCCGUAGCUGGCCGCGCAAGUCCAUCGGAAAAUCCACCCGCCCAACGGGUGGGCGUCCGGUGGAAACUGCGUGGCUUGGGACCGGAAGGCGCGACGGGUACGUCCGGGGUAGGAGUGAAAUCCCGUAAUCCUGGACGGACUGCCGAUGGCGAAAGCACUCUGAGAAGACGGCUUCGACAGUGAGGGACGAAAGCUCGGGUCUCAAACCGGAUUAGAUACCCCAGUAGUCC
rnacentral:rRNA from 1 species